rnacentral:rRNA from 1 species
AGUCAUAUGCUUGUCUCAAAGAUUAAGCCAUGCAUGUCUCAGUACAAGCCAACUUAAGGUGAAACCGCGAAAGGCUCAUUAAAUCAGUUAUGGUUCCUUAGAUCGUACCCACACUUACUUGGAUAACUGUGGUAAUUCUAGAGCUAAUACAUGCAAACAGAGCUCCGACCGGAGACGGAAGGAGCGCUUUUAUUAGAUCAAAACCAAUCGGCGGCGUUUUACGACGUCGUCGUUCAACUUGGUGAAUCUGAAUAACUUUUCGCUGAUCGCACGGUCUCGCACCGGCGACGCAUCUUUCAAAUGUCUGCCUUAUCAACUGUCGAUGGUAGGUUCUGCGCCUACCAUGGUUGUAACGGGUAACGGGGAAUCAGGGUUCGAUUCCGGAGAGGGAGCCUGAGAAACGGCUACCACAUCCAAGGAAGGCAGCAGGCGCGCAAAUUACCCACUCCCGGCACGGGGAGGUAGUGACGAAAAAUAACGAUACGGGACUCAUCCGAGGCCCCGUAAUCGGAAUGAGUACACUCUAAACCCUUUAACGAGGAUCAAUUGGAGGGCAAGUCUGGUGCCAGCAGCCGCGGUAAUUCCAGCUCCAAUAGCGUAU